GAAUAACUAACCGAAAGGUUAGCUAAUGCCGCAUACGACCUAUGGGUGAAAGCGGGGGAUCGUAAGACCUCGCGCUAUCAGAUGAGCCGAAGUCGGAUUAGCUAGUUGGUGAGGUAACGGCUCACCAAGGCGACAAUCCGUAGCUGGUCUGAGAGGACGACCAGCCACACUGGGACUGAGACACGGCCCAGACUCCUACGGGAGGCAGCAGUGGGGAAUAUUGGACAAUGGGGGAAACCCUGAUCCAGCGACGCCGCGUGUGUGAAGAAGGCCUGCGGGUUGUAAAGCACUUUUAGUGGGGAUGAAAAGCUCAGGGCUAAUACCCUUGGGUCUUGACCUAACCCAAAGAAAAAGCACCGGCUAACUCUGUGCCAGCAGCCGCGGUAAUACAGAGGGUGCGAGCGUUAAUCGGAAUUACUGGGCGUAAAGCGUGCGUAGACGGUUCUGUAAGUCGGAUGUGAAAUCCCCGGGCUCAACCUGGGAAUUGCAUUCGAAACUGCAUAGCUAGGGUGCGGAAGAGGGAAGCGGAAUUUCCGGUGUAGCGGUGAAAUGCGUAGAUAUCGGAAGGAACAUCAGUGGCGAAGGCGGCUUCCUGGUCCAGCACCGACGUUCAGGCACGAAAGCGUGGGGAGCAAACAGGAUUAGAUACCCUGGUAGUCCACGCCAUAAACGAUGAGAACUAGACGUUGAGAGGGUAAGCCUCCCAGUGUCGUAGCUAACGCGCUAAGUUCUCCGCCUGGGGAGUACGGCCGCAAGGUUG
rnacentral:rRNA from 1 species